rnacentral:lncRNA from 1 species
CUUAACAGGAUUUAGUGACUAACUGGAUGUAGAGAGUGGAUGAUGAAAGGUGGAAAGGAGUAAGUUCCAGAGUCCUAGCAUGUGAGAAUGAGUAGAUGAAGAUCCAUCAACCAGACUAGCGAUAUAAAAGGAAGAGUAUGUCUUAGAGGUGAAAUCAUGAUCAAUUUUGGACAUGCAGAGUGAGAGAUUUCUGAGAUUUUAUUCAGAGAACAUCUUCAAAGGGAUUCUUGGAAAAUUCAAGAUCAUCAGUCCAUAAACACCCAGCAGAGGAAGAUUUUCCCUAUAAAAUAUUUGAAUUCAAGGGAGAAACCUGGGAGCCACAAGAAAAAGAGAUUUUUACAAUGAAGAAUGACAGACUGGGAGACAAUCACCCGAAGAAAACAAGAUGCUGCUUAUGGGGAUCUGAAGAAAAGCACUCAAGGUCAAGGCUGUGGUUAAGUUUUUGCCAGAAAGCAGGAUUAUUUGCCUCGAAAUCAAACAAUGGAGCUUUACUCAGUUAAUUUCUGUUUGAAAAAUUUUCUAGGAUUCUUGAGACUAUGUCAUCUUUAGAACUGAAAUGGAAACUAAAAAUCAGCUAUUCAAAGACUCUUAAUCCACAGCAGGCCUUAACCCCUCCCCAAUUUCAAAAGAUGGAUUUAGAGUGCUCCAGUUCUCCUUCUGGCCUAUUUUUGACAUAGAAUUGGCAAAUGAGAAGAGAGACAAAUGGAGAAGAGAGAAAAGGAAUUUUCAUCAGAAUGCCCUCCUCAUUCCAUCUCAUGUCCAAAAGUGAGACAUGACCAAGGACCUCUUCUGGAAUAUUGCCUCCACCCUCAGCUAUAGCUCCAGCUGCUGGAAAACAAAAGCCACUGGACUCUUAACUGCCUUCCUGGUUUAUACGUGAUCUCCAG